rnacentral:lncRNA from 1 species
CUGGCUGGAGCAGAUAGGCUCGGAAGGAAAAUGAUGUGGAAGGCAUAAUAAGCGAGCUGCUCAGAAUUAAUGAGCUAACCCAGUAAGAAAAGAAUGGCCAAUCAAUGUGAGUUGGGCAAAUAUAAUUUAGAAAUAAUUGCUUGAUUGGUUGCCUAUAGUAGACUGAUUUGACCACAUACAAGGAUUAAGAAUUAAGAUGUCAAGGCAAAAAAUAAUUUGGCAACUGAGGGCAUGUAAUUUUUUGUGUCCUUCCCUUUAUGAUUGAAAGAGAUGGGUGUUUGAGAUGCUAUUCGCCAGAAUGAAAACAUUAGACACCCUCUCGUUCUCUUUCUGCUCCUCUCACAAUGCAGGCCCAUUCAGAACACAAUUGUGAUACUCCUGGACAGGACGUGAAAAAGGCACCGGAGCCGCUACGUGCACAGUAAUGACAUCUCAAAGGCCAACAGCACUGGCUGGAGAAUAAAGGCGUUUUAAAGGUCUAAGAACACUGGAUUGAAGAGCCAAGGAGAACCCUUGAUGGAUGAGGAGGAAGGCAGAGCCCAGCAAAUGACAAGGCAUUUGUGACCAGGUUUCCAAUGCCGGAGUGAGGUAGAACAAAAGUACUGAAGAGACAGGAGCUUCCGUUCCUGCCCCGGUGCCAGCUUGUCUUUCCCGUUUCCCAGGAAGCUCAGCUGACUACAAGCCUACGGGGGUACGGCCCUCCUCUUAUUUCUGUUGCCUCUUGUUAGUUGAGAAAUGUUAGUGUCUCAAAUUGUUUUAGUCCCUCAAAUUGCCUUUAAGGAUAAUGGUAAUAAAAUGAUUUAAGCUACAAUAUUUGAGUAUUCACUAUUUACCAGAUACUAUUCUAGGCACCGAAUAUUUGAUUUCCCCCCAAGCCCCAUGAGAUGCUGCUAUCAUUAGGCCCAUUUUACAGAUGAGUCACUGAGGCCCUGAAAAUAAUUUGCCCAUAUUCACUCCACCAGUGGCCAUAGAGCCAUGCCUUGAACCUAGGCAGUCUCACAGGCUUUUCAUUACCACUGGACCCCAGAUUCCAGGGCCAGGCCUAGAGAGCCAGUGUCUCUUCAAAUUUUACACCCUAAGUACCCACCAGAAUCCCCUUCCCAGACACCUUCCUUCCUUCCUUUCUACUGAUCUCUCCUUCGCCCCCUUGAAAAGCUCAAGACAUGGCUGGGCAUGGUGGCUCACGCCUAUAAUCCCUGCACUUUGGGAGGCUGGGGCGGGUGGAUCGCCUGAGGUCAGGAGAUGGAGAUCAGCCUGGCCAACAUGGUGAAACCCCAUCUCUACUAAAAAUACAAAAAUUAGCCGGGCUUGGUGGCGGGCGCCUGUAAUCCCAGCUAGUAGGGAGGCUGAGACAGGAGAAUUGCUUGAACCUGGGAGGAGGAGGUUGCAGUGAGCCGAGGCUGCACCAUUGCACUCCAGCCUGGGCAACAAGAGCAAAAUUCCAUCUCAAAAAAAAAAAAAAAAAAAAAGAAAAGAACAGCUCAAGCCACAACAAUGGCAGAAAUGGUGCACAAGCCCAUCUCACACAGUCCCCCUGACUGAAUGUUUUCAAUAACAAAAUCCCACUCAGUUUUCACAGAAUCUUUUCACUGAAGGUGGGACAGAAAUUUUGAUUAUCCAGGCCUCCUUUAGGCCUCUCAGACCACAGUGACACUUGAGCCCCAAGUCAGCAGAGAUCGCUGCCAAAGAGUCACGCUUUAGCAACUUAUCUGGACUGUGGACAAUGGCCGUGAACUGACCCUUUUCCCCUUGUUCAGCUGAAAGGUGCCCUCCCCUCUGGUUCCCUGAGAUGAGCCGUGGCUCCUGAUUCAUUCCGAGAAGACAGCAAUUGGAUCUAAUCAUGGAGCACAACACACGCUGGAUGGGCCAUCAGCGCAGAGCCAUAAUCUCUGCCUGGAGUGAGUUCUUCCAUAACUCCAGCCCAUUGCACAAAAUUGACGGGCUCUUUUCUUUUUGGCUGGAUCUGAUAGCAUUCUGGGAAGUCUUUGUACCGCUUUAUAUCACAGGAUCACUAUACCUGUGUGGGAAUGUUAACAAAACUAUGGUUAUGAAACACUGAUAUUAUCUCUUAGUAAAUUAAAUCUGCCUUUCCUACGAAUAGUGGAGUUAAGAAAGCUGAGACAAAUUCUUUUUUCGAAAAACAUUUCUUUGAAUUCUAUAUUACUCACACGUAGGUUAUUUUCUCUUCUUUGCAAUUCUACUGGGCCCAUUCCUCUCUAAUAAUGUGAUGUGGUGUCAUCACAUGGCCAAACAUCUUUUUGACCUCCCAUAAUAGCUUCUCAGAGACACAGGUGAAGGUCAUUCCCAUUUGCAUGGCCCUCAAUACCUGAUGAACACCCAGGAGGUGCCAGCAAUGUUUGGCAAGCAUAUCAGUCUCCUAUUGCUGCCGUAACCAAUUACCGUAUGUUUAGUGGCUAAAAAUAAUUUAAAUAAGUUUUCUUACAGUUCUGGAGGUCAGAAGUUCAAAAUGGGUCUUAAAGGUAUCAGCUGGGCUGGUUCAUUCCGGAGGCUCCAGAAGCGUCCCUCCCUUGCCUCUCCCAGGGUUUAGAGGCUGCUAGCAUUCCUUGGUACCAGGCUGCAUCACUCCAACCUCUGCUUCUACCUCUGCUUCUGUCCUCAUGUCACCUUCUCCCACUGUGAUGUCCUACCUCUCUCUCAUUAGGAUCCUUUUGAUUAUAUCAAGCCCACCCAGGUAAACCAGGAUCAUCUCCCUAUCUCAAGAUCCUUAACUUGAUCCCAUCUGAAAAGUCCCUUUGACCAUAGAAGGUAACAUGCAUAGUUCCAGGAAUUAGAACAAGGGCAUUGGGGGAGGAGGGGAUGAGUUAUUCAGCCUACAACAUGCAAUCGAUCCUGGGAAGAGAGGCAAAGUGCUCGUCAUUCAUUUGUUCAUUCAUUCAUUCAUCCAGCUGCAAAUGUGAGUUUGUGGGCACCAUGUUCGGCCCCAGGACUGCAGUAGAGAGCAGGACAGUCUUCCCGUUG